GUUAUAGAGUAUAAUUUGUAGGGUAAUAACAUAUCAAGUUUUUUUUAAAACCUCUAUUUGCAAAAGAGUUUUCCCAACAAAAAUGGCAUCAAACAACAAAAAUGGGAGACCUAGUAAGCAUGACAGCCCAUCCGACAACAGUAUUUGUGCACCCAAUGCUGGUGGGAUUUGUAUUCCUAAAACUUCAAUGAACAAGCCAAAGAAGCCUGCAAAGCAAGACCAAAAACCUCGUGACAACAAGAAGAAGGUUGAAAAUGCACUACCAAAGGUGGAGAAGGAGAUUCCAAUAAUGUGAGGCAAGGAAGCUAUAGAUGUUGUGGCCUUGGCUUAUACUUGAUCAUCCAACCUACUUGAAACUUAAAUGUUUUGUCACAUAUAGUGUGACUGUUAUAUAUAUUUGGGAAAUUCUAUUUAUUAUGGGUAGUGAAAUGACUUGUAGUGACAAUAUUAGAGCAUGGAUGGACUCCUCUUUCUCUUUUUGAU